rnacentral:rRNA from 1 species
UACGUAGGUGGCGAGCGUUGUCCGGAAUUACUGGGCGUAAAGAGCGCGUAGGCGGUUUUUUAAGUCAGAUGUGAAAAUCCAGGGCUUAACUCUGGGCGUGCAUUUGAAACUGGGGAACUAGAGUGCAGGAGAGGUAAGUGGAAUUCCUAGUGUAGCGGUGAAAUGCGUAGAUAUUAGGAGGAACACCAGUGGCGAAGGCGACUUACUGGACUGUAACUGACGCUGAGGCGCGAAAGCGUGGGUAGCGAACAGGAUUAGAUACCCUGGUAGUCCACGCCGUAAACGAUGGAUACUAGGUGUGGGAGGUAUCGACCCCUUCCGUGCCGCAGUAAACGCAAUAAGUAUCCCGCCUGGGGAGUACGGCCGCAAGGUUGAA